UCCGCAACACCGGCCACACCACUAAUCUCUUCCUCGGUUGCUUCCUUGAGAACUUGAGCAACUACAAUUUCAGCAAGUGGUUUCUCCCUUAUCUCCCAAAGGAAGUAAUUGGAUAAGUUUUGCUUUAGCCCGGAGUCAGUGGUAAAAAUAGGCUCCUUUCGAAGGAGCAACUCCACAAGUACCGUACCGAAACUGUACACAUCACUCUUCUCAUUUAAAAGGCCAGUGUGAUAAUAUUCUGGAUCUAAGUACCCAAGGAAGAGGGCUCCAGCUGCUUCUAUAGCAAUUCUUAAGCAAUCAUCCCACGACAAGGAAGAGUUGUUGUUUGGAUUAUGAAGAACACCAAAUAAUGAACCAUUAGGUAUGAAGUCAUACACAAGUAGUGGAACAUCAGUCUCAAGGCAACAUCCAAAGAGCUUCACAAUAUUUCGGUGAUUUAUCUGUGAGAGGGUAGCAACCUCGUUGAUGAACUGACUAAUCUCAAUUUGUGAAGUGACUUUAGACUUUUUAAUGGCCACUACUCGUUGGUCAGAUAGGAUGUCUUUGUAUACCAUGCCAUGCCCUCCACGACCAACGAUACGUGUGUGGUCAAAGUUAUUUGUUCCCUUUUGUAGCUCUGCCAAAGAGAAAAUCUUUGUUUUGUCAUUCACAUUUUCAUCGAAAGAAAUAAAUUGUUCUAGAAGAAAACCUUGGUUCUUUUUGAAAUACUUUCUUCGCAAUUGCUUUUCGAUAUCUAAUUUCCACCUUCGGAUAAGAAAUAUUGCAAUUAUGAUGAGAAGUAGAAUGCCAAAACCAACGCUUAGCCCAAUGACAAUACGUGCAAUGAUAGUGUUCAUCAAAUCUGUACUUAGCCAAAAGUAUUGUUUCACGUCGCUCACUGUGGAAUUGAUUAUACCAUUGAACUCACCAAGUAAAAGACUCUGCCUCUUUGUUGAAGUGCACUUCAUUGCUAGGAAGUCAUAUUCUGUUUUUCUAGGACAUGCGGUGCAAUUGUGGCUUCCAAUAGUAUUAUGACAAAGCCCUUUACAAAUACCAGAAGUCUCACACUCAUCAAUAUCUGCAAUAUAUGGGUGAGGUUUGAGAGGAGUUUAUAGUGUGUAAUAAUCAUUAUACAUUUACUAACAUUGUCAAAAAAAUUAAGUAAUAUAGGGCUUUCAUAUUUUUUUGGGGGUGGGUUUUGCAGCAAACAAAAAUGAUGGUUAACUCUCUAAAAUGGCCAUAUAGUUACUAUAGCUAGGGGCUCAUCGCCUUAAUAUAGGUUGACGCACUCAAAGUUUGGAGUGUCUGAUCUGCAUGCAAGCUAUUUUCAUUCUACUCUAUGCACAGAGUUAAUUAAUGAAGAAGCCAUAGAUAAUAAUUUAGUGUUUAUGUAAACAUUUCUGUGAGACAAAACAAAAUCCAACACUCCUUCAGAACACACCGCUCUAAAAGGUUAUUGAAGUGUAUUAUUGUACUUUUUGCCACUAACUAAGACAAGUAGUCAUCAAUCCGUGCUCCUGCAAGGGCUAGAGAUUUCUCUACUUGACAGGUAUUAUCGUGUCAAAGAUAUUUUUAACCAUGAAAAUGUAAGUGAUGUACAAAUGAAUAUUAACACAUUCACAUUAGACACAUACGAAUGGGAAUUCUAGACUCACUGAGAACGCCUUACUCCUCUGCUAGUUUCCCGUGUUACUCGUUCGCUGCUCUCAUUUAUCUUUGUUUGUGUUAUUUACUUUUGAUUCACACUCUACUCAAAAACAUUAUUUAUCUCCGCCCUCACUUUGCUCUUUUUUGCAAAAGCCCUCACUUUGCUCCGAGUCUACAAUUAUUUGCACGCACAAUUCCAUAAGUCUCUACAAGGGACAAAUAUCCUAUUCAUGUGCUCCAUGUGGGAUUGAUACUCUUGCUUCUAAAAGGCUACAAUUAAACCCUAUGCAUUUGCAGGACAUCAACUGCGCCGAAAAAAAUGAUGUGGCAACAAGCUAUGGAAAAAUAAACACCUGUAGUUGAACAAAACCCCCUUUAUGUUUGAAAACCGUAUACUUUGCACCCCAGUUUACAGUCACUUAGCUUGAAGCCAACCCAUCCCAAGGGUAAUAUCAUCGCAACCCAGCGGAAAAAGUAUGAAUGCGGGUCCAAAAAAAGGCCAUGUAUCUUGCAAUCGUGGAUUGGCAACUCCAUGCCAUGUUGAAUAACAUCCUUAGUGGCUACCUUCACAUCCAAAGGAUUUUCAUGGUUGCAGACCCCCCAAGACUGAGAUACUUUAGUGUUUAAAAAUUUGUGAAACCUCCCAGAGUCCACCAACACGAGUAGAACAUUUUCGCCCACCCUGCCAGAUAAUUAUAGAACACUUUUGGGGCUUCAAUACCACUAACUCUUGCAGCAGACAACAGACAUAGAUCAUCCUUGGAGCUCUCCCAGGCGCUGGUGGUGGCUCAGGUAAUGAUGGUGGCGAGAUCUUGCCCACCAAUUCUUCGAUCACCGCACCAUGGGUGCACAAGUAUGCCCGUGAUCCCAAUGCUAGCCACAUGUGAAAGAAGGCCUUACUAAAAGCACAUAAAGACUAGAGCUUGUUGUCGACAAAAGAAGCCAUGGGUGACGAUGAUUAGGCGAUGUCCAAUCCACGAUGCUUCUCCAAUGAGGUCGGGGAUAGCAAGGAGUUGGCUUGUCAUCCGACGCCUGGCGUCGGUGGCUCCAAUGUCGCUAAAGAUGGGCAUGGCACAAACCACUCAGUGCAGGCGCCUGGAGAAUUAUCGUAGUGCGGUGUCAUGGUGUCUAAUUCUUGGCACACCAUUUCUACCACUUCCUCGUGCAAUUUAUCCAAUGCAACGACUGUUUCCAAGUCUUGGGGAUGGUGUAGCAUUAUAGAUAUUUUGAUAUCAUGUGACAAACCAUCUAGGAAAUGAGUAGCGAAAAACAGGGGAUCCCAGGAGCUAUAGUGCUCCAGUAAAUCAUGCAUCAUUACAUUAAAUUACUCAACAUAUUCUCACACAUAUCCCACUCUUUUUUUAACAACAGAUAUGCCUCUUUUUAAGCCGAGAAUAUUUUCUCAAUAGAUGCUGGAACUCUGAAAGCCCACAUUUCUCUAAGACGGGCCCACAAAAGGCAUCCCAUUUAGCACAUUUCACGUGAGCCUAGAAUGGAGUAAGGGCACGCCGGGUGUUUCAGUUCAAGAGCUGAGCGCCAAGCUCCAAACACUUUCAGAAAGUCUAUGGGGAUGGGACAGAAAUACUUUUGGUAACGUCCAGGCGGAAAUAAAAAAAGCUCUACAAAGAGCUGGACAUAUUACAGAAUGUUCCAGGCAAAGAUGCUCCAAGUCACCACGAGCUGAAGAUAACUGAAUGCCUUGUCGAGCUUUAUUAUCGGGAGGAGAUCCUCAUGCGGCAGCGGUCACGAGUUGACUAGCUCACCGAUGGCGAAAAAAACACGUGCUUCUUUCAGCUGCGUGCUUCCAACCACCGCUGGAAGAACCUCAUCAAGUCCUUGGUCAAGGAUGAUGGACAAGUCACCGAAGAUAGCAAGGAGAUGGAAUGCACGACCACUAAAUUCUAUAAGAAUAUUUACUAUUCUAAAGGGGUUGAGAACAUGCAACAUGUUUUGGAUACAGUCCCUAAAAAUAUCACUAAUGACAUGCAAGCCCAUUUGGACGCCCCAUAUAGUGCUGAGGAGGUAAAAACAACUCUCUUCCAGGUGUUUCCUUCAAAAGCUCCGGGCCCCGAAGGUUUUCCGGCCAUUUCUUCCAGAGACACCGGGAUGUUUGUAGCCCCGAAGUAACAAAGGUUGUUCUGCAAAUUGUCGAAGGGAAAGAGAGCACUGAAAGGAUCAACAAGAUGGGUGGAAAGGCCCUCUGUUACCUGUUUUUGUUGGUAUCAGUCAUCUCAGAUGGGUGGAAUUCAAGUGCGCCUAUGGCAUCCCCUGUUAACCACUUCUUAUUUACAGAUGAUAUCCUGCCGUUCUUCAAAGCCAAUGUUGUAGGGGCGACUGAGCAAAAAAUGCAUGACAAAUGUCAAAGAUGAGAUAAACAAUAUUCUUCAAGUGCCCAAUGAAACCUUGAAUGCUGGUACUUGGGUAUGCCCUCUGAUGUAGGCUCUUCUAAAUAGGUGGCUUUUAAAUAUUUAAAGGAUAGGGUAUGGAACAAGGUUAAAGGAUGGGUGACAAAACUUUUCUCUUCGGCUGGCAAAGAGGUUUUGAGCAAGUCAGUGGCUCAUGCGGUUCUAGUUUACUCUGUGUCGUGUUUCAAAUUACCGAGAGGCUUAUGUGAGCACCUGAAUAAACUCAUACGACAAUUCUGGUGAGGAACAAAGAAGGCCAAAGGAGGCCGUCAUGGGUUUCUUGGAAGGACAUGACCCAACGAACGUUUCUGGGUGGAUUGGGAUUCAGGGUUUUCGAGCUUUUCAACCUAGCGCUGCUUGCUAAACUGGCGUGGCGCAUUCUACAAUAUCCUGACACUCUUUGUCCCAUGAUGCUGAAAGCUAUUUAUUUCCUCCCUGGUAAUAUUUUGUCAGCCGAAGUUGGGAACCAUUCUUCACAGAUAUGGAUCAUGGAUAGCAUCUUACUGUUUGUAAACAAGGAGGAGUACUAAUAACAGAGUACUACGUACAUGCUAACACGUAAAGGAGAUUGGAAGAUGCCAAUCUGAAAAGGACGACUCCUAUUAGUAAGUGUACUUAGGAAACGGAAAAUCCGAACACAAUAUAUUAGAAGCCGGAUAAUAUCUAGCGUGGUAGAGUCGCUGAUGACAUAAAUUCUUGCUCCAAGCUAUAACAAUUUUGGCUUCUCUCGGAAGAUGAAUUUGAGCUUCCCACCUUCCCAGCUGCAGUAGCUAAAGACUGAUGACGAACUUGGCUUUGUACUGUCAGCAUAGGUUGAAUGUCUUGGUCUUUUGCAGCAAGCUCGCACAUUCUCAACCUCUCCAAUCGCACAUGCUGCAAUUUCAUCUCGACUUCUUUCAUAGUAGGUCUUUCUUCACCUCGAAGACGCAAACAGAUAUCCGCAACACCGGCUACACCACUAAUAUCUUCCUCGGUUGCUUCCUCGAGAACUUGAGCAGCUACAAUUUCAGCAAGUGGUUUCUCCCUUAUCUCCCAAAGGAAGUAAUUGGAUAAGUUUUGCUUUAGCCCGGAAUCAGUGGUAAAAAUAGGCUCCUUUCGAAGGAGCAACUCCACAAGUACCGUACCAAAACUGUACACAUCACUCUUCUCAUUUAAAAGGCCAGUGUGAUAAUAUUCUGGAUCUAAGUACCCAAAUGUACCUUGUAUAUUCGUCAUAACAUGGGUCUGGUCAAUAGGAACCAACCUCGAAGCACCAAAGUCUGACACCUUUGCUGUAUAAUUCCCAUCCAGGAGUAUAUUUGUCGACUUCACAUCACGAUGAAAGAUUGAUACAGAAGCAGCUGAAUGAAGGUAAGAAAGGGCUCCAGCUGCUUCUAUAGCAAUUCUUAAGCAAUCAUCCCACGACAAGGAAGAGUUGUUGUUUGGAUUAUGAAGAACACCUAAUAAUGAACCAUCAGGUAUGAAGUCAUACACAAGUAGUGGAACCUCACUCUCAAGGCAACAUCCA
rnacentral:lncRNA from 1 species